rnacentral:rRNA from 1 species
AGUGAACGCUGGCGGUAGGCCUAACACAUGCAAGUCGAACGGCAGCACAGUAAGAGCUUGCUCUUACGGGUGGCGAGUGGCGGACGGGGGAGGAAUACAUCGGAAUCUACUUUUUCGUGGGGGAUAACGUAGGGAAACUAACGCUAAUACCGCAUACGACCUACGGGUGAAAGCAGGGGAUCUUCGGACCUUGCGCGAUUGAAUGAGCCGAUGUCGGAUUAGCUAGUUGGCGGGGUAAAGGCCCACCAAGGCGACGAUCCGUAGCUGGUCUGAGAGGAUGAUCAGCCACACUGGAACUGAGACACGGUCCAGACUCCUACGGGAGGCAGCAGUGGGGAAUAUUGGACAAUGGGCGCAAGCCUGAUCCAGCCAUACCGCGUGGGUGAAGAAGGCCUUCGGGUUGUAAAGCCCUUUUGUUGGGAAAGAAAAGCAGCAGGUUAAUACCCCGCUGUUCUGACGGUACCCAAAGAAUAAGCACCGGCUAACUUCGUG